UGGGGGAUAUUGCACAAUGGGCGAAAGCCUGAUGCAGCGACGCCGCGUGGGGGAUGAAGGCUUUCGGGUUGUAAACCUCUUUCGCUAUCGAACAAGGCCCGCUUAGGGUGGGUUGAGGGUAGGUGGAGAAGAAGCGCCGGCUAACUACGUGCCAGCAGCCGCGGUAAUACGUAGGGCGCGAGCGUUGUCCGGAAUUAUUGGGCGUAAAGGGCUUGUAGGCGGCUUGUUGCGCCUGCUGUGAAAACGCGGGGCUUAACUUCGCGCGUGCAGUGGGUACGGGCAGGCUUGAGUGUGGUAGGGGUGUCUGGAAUUCCAGGUGUAGCGGUGGAAUGCGCAGAUAUCUGGAGGAGCACCGAUGGCGAAGGCAGGUCACUGGGCCAUUACUGACGCUGAGGAGCGAAAGCAUGGGUAGCGAACAGG
rnacentral:rRNA from 1 species